CUACGGGAGGCAGCAGUAGGGAAUCUUCCGCAAUGGACGAAAGUCUGACGGAGCAACGCCGCGUGAGUGAUGAAGGCUUUCGGGUCGUAAAACUCUGUUGUUAGGGAAGAACAAGUACAAGAGUAACUGCUUGUACCUUGACGGUACCUAACCAGAAAGCCACGGCUAACUACGUGCCAGCAGCCGCGGUAAUACGUAGGUGGCAAGCGUUAUCCGGAAUUAUUGGGCGUAAAGCGCGCGCAGGCGGUUUCUUAAGUCUGAUGUGAAAGCCCACGGCUCAACCGUGGAGGGUCAUUGGAAACUGGGGAACUUGAGUGCAGAAGAGAAAAGCGGAAUUCCACGUGUAGCGGUGAAAUGCGUAGAGAUGUGGAGGAACACCAGUGGCGAAGGCGGCUUUUUGGUCUGUAACUGACGCUGAGGCGCGAAAGCGUGGGGAGCAAACAGGAUUAGAUACCCUGG
rnacentral:rRNA from 1 species